rnacentral:rRNA from 1 species
UACAGAGGUCCCAAGCGUUGUUCGGAUUUACUGGGCGUAAAGGGUGCGUAGGUGGUUGGGUAAGUCUGAUGUGAAAUCUCCGGGCUCAACCCGGAAAUGGCAUUGGAUACUAUUCGACUAGAGGGUUGGAGGGGGACUGGAAUACUUGGUGUAGCAGUGAAAUGCGUAGAUAAUCAAGUGGAACACCAGUGGCGAAGGCGAGUCCCUGGACAACUCCUGACACUGAGGCACAGAAGCGUAGGGAGCAAACAGG